AUUGAACGCUAGCGGGAUGUUUUACACAUGCAAGUCGAACGGCAGCGCGGACUUCGGUCUGGCGGCGAGUGGCGAACGGGUGAGUAAUGUAUCGGAACGUGCCCAGUAGCGGGGGAUAACUACGCGAAAGCGUAGCUAAUACCGCAUACGCCCUACGGGGGAAAGCAGGGGAUCGUAAGACCUUGCACUAUUGGAGCGGCCGAUAUCGGAUUAGCUAGUUGGUGAGGUAACGGCUCACCAAGGCGACGAUCCGUAGCUGGUUUGAGAGGACGACCAGCCACACUGGGACUGAGACACGGCCCAGACUCCUACGGGAGGCAGCAGUGGGGAAUUUUGGACAAUGGGGGCAACCCUGAUCCAGCCAUCCCGCGUGUGCGAUGAAGGCCUUCGGGUUGUAAAGCACUUUUGGCAGGAAAGAAACGUCGCGGGCUAAUACCCCGUGGAACUGACGGUACCUGCAGAAUAAGCACCGGCUAACUACGUG
rnacentral:rRNA from 1 species